UACGGGGGGGGUAAGCGUUGUUCGGAAUUACUGGGCGUAAAGCGCGCGCAGGCGGCUAUCCAAGUCAGUGGUGAAAGCCCGGAGCUCAACUCCGGAACUGCCAUUGAAACUGUUUAGCUUGAGGAUGAGAGAGGUGAGUGGAAUUCCCAGUGUAGAGGUGAAAUUCGUAGAUAUUGGGAAGAACACCGGUGGCGAAGGCGGCUCACUGGCUCAUUACUGACGCUCAGGCGCGAUAGCGUGGGGAUCAAACAGG
rnacentral:rRNA from 1 species